rnacentral:rRNA from 1 species
AUCGAACGCUGGCGGCAGGCUUAACACAUGCAAGUCGAGCGAGCGGCGGACGGGGGAGUAAUGUCUUGGCAACUGCCUGAGGGAGGGGGAUAACUACUGGCAACGGUAGCUAAUACUGCAUACCAUCAGAUGGGGCCAGAUGGGAUUAGCGAGUAGGUGGGGGAAUGGCUCACCUAGGCGACGAACCCUAGCUGAUCUGAGAGGCGGACCAGCGACACGGGAACGGAGACACGGUCACGAGUCCUACGGGAGGCAGCAGUAGGGAAUAUUGGGCAAUGGGCGGAAGCCUGAUGCAGCCAUGCCGCGUGUGUGAAGAAGGCUUUCGGGUUGGAAAGCCGUGUCAGCGGGGAUGCGUUACUCGCAGAAGAAGCACCGGCUAACUCCGUGCCAGCAGCCGCGGUAAUUC